UACAGAGGGGGCAAGCGUUGUCCGGAAUUAUUGGGCGUAAAGGGCGCGUAGGCGGCCUUGCAAGUGACGGGUGAAAUCCCUCGGCUUAACCGAGGAACUGCCUGUCAAACUGCGUGGCUUGAGACCAGGAGAGGUGAGUGGAAUUCCCAGUGUAGCGGUGAAAUGCGUAGAUAUUGGGAGGAACACCAGUGGCGAAGGCGGCUCACUGGACUGGUACUGACGCUGAUGCGCGAAAGCGUGGGGAGCAAACAGG
rnacentral:rRNA from 1 species